rnacentral:rRNA from 1 species
GAGUUUGAUCGUGGCUCAGAUUGAACGCUGGCGGCAUGCCUUACACAUGCAAGUCGAACGGCAGCAUGAUCUAGCUUGCUAGAUUGAUGGCGAGUGGCGAACGGGUGAGUAAUACAUCGGAACGUGCCCUGUAGUGGGGAUAACUAGUCGAAAGAUUAGCUAAUACCGCAUACGACCUGAGGGUGAAAGUGGGGGACCGGCAAGGCCUCAUGCUAUAGGAGCGGCCGAUGUCUGAUUAGCUAGUUGGUGGGGUAAAGGCCCACCAAGGCGACGAUCAGUAGCUGGUCUGAGAGGGCGAUCAGCCACACUGGGACUGAGACACGGCCCAGGCUCCUACGGGAGGCAGCAGUGGGGAAUUUUGGACAAUGGGCGAAAGCCUGAUCCAGCAAUGCCGCGUGUGUG